rnacentral:misc_RNA from 1 species
UUGGUCUAUUUGGUAUCCUGGUUGGCUAUCUUGUGAAGAGAACAUAGAAAACUACCAAAUGAACUGGUAUUUGUGUGGUAGGGGUGCUGAAUUUAUUUUUCAGCCUUCCCCUAGUUUUGGAACUUUUUAGGACUUUCUUAUUAGUUUGUAAAGUCAUUCUGAUAUAUUAUCGGCACUUCCGGUUAUUGAUUUGUUAGAUGUUUGAACAAGACUAGCGCAGCUGGUGAUUUGUGUUUGUGGCACACAGUUAAUGUUGUUUGUUUCAUGAAUGAAUUGAUUUACAAACUAAUAAGAAAGUCCUAAAAA